rnacentral:lncRNA from 1 species
GGGUAGGAAGACAGAAGAGGAACUCCAGGGCUAAGGGUCUCACUGUGAGCUCUCUAUGUCCAUUCCUAGAAACGGCAGCUUCCUUCUCUAGUCCACUCGUUACAUCAGAUACUAAACAUUUAUGGUGCAUGUAUGUUACAGACUACACAGCAGUGUGCCAGAGGAGUAGACAUUUUGCCUUUCAUUUUGGAAUUCCCAUUGGACUGAUGAGAGGAAUAAAUAAAUAAGAGAUCAUUCUACAUUUGAAAGAGCAAACAUUAAUUACACUCUUCGUGAUAGAGGGAAGGAAAAUGGCUUGCAGUGCUAAUGAAAGCUUAGUUGAGAAAUGGAAACACAGGCAUAGAAGUCAGAAGGCAAACUUACCUGUUGGGGAAGAUAAACAAAGGGCAAAGCCUUGAAGUAGUCUGUGAAUUCCUGAAUGCUCAGAGAUUCCAACUCUAGUGAAUAAAUGGGAAAUUCUUGAAAUGGGAGAAAGGAAUCCUGCCUUGGCCUUUUGAGGAUUUUAUCCCAUUGACAAAUGUGACUGAAGCAAUAUUUUAACAAGGUGACAUCAGGCUUGGUGACACAUGCCUAUAAUCCCACCACUUGGGAGGCUGAGAAAAGAUGACCCAGUGAAGCCUUGAUUACAUAGAAGACCCCAUAUCAAAAAGUGAAAAACUAGAUCCUCUAAAAGCAAAACAAAUAAAACACUCUAAAGCAACAAGAUGACUUUUGUACAUCUUAAUUAUUUCUAUACCUGAAAUCAUUCUUAAACUUAGUGUGGUGGUUUGGAUGAAAACCACCAACAUAGACUCAUAGGGAUUAGCAUUAUUGGAAGUGCGGCCUUGUUGGAAUGAGUGUGGC